rnacentral:rRNA from 1 species
AUAGGCAUGCAGUCGUACGGACGCAGCAAUGCGUUAGUGGCGAAAGGGAUAGGAAUACAUAGAUUAUCUGCCCUCAGGACGCGGAUAGCGGCGGGAAACUGCCGGUAAUACGCGAUAAUUUCUCCGGAACAAAGGUGUGAUUCCGCCUGGGGAUGAGUCUAUGUCCUAUUAUGCUAGUUGGCGGUGUAAUGGACCACCAAGGCUAUGAUGGGUACGAGGCGUGAGAGCGUGUCCUCGAUCACUGGAACUGAGACACUGUCCAGACACCUACGGGUGGCUGCAGUCGAGAAUCUUCGGCAAUGGACGAAAGUCUGACCGAGCGGCGCCGCGUGUGUGAUGAAGGUCUUCGGAUUGUAAAGCACUGUAAGUUGGGAGGAAAUGUAUCGGGGUACUCCCCGGUAUUUGACCUAUCUUCAAAGUAAGGACGGGCUAAGUUCGUGCCAGCAGCCGCGGUAAGACGGACUGUCCAAACGUUAUUCGGAAUCACUGGGCUUAAAGGGUGCGUAGGCUGUCCGGUAAGUGGGGUGUGAAAUCCCUCAGCUCAACUGAGGAAUUGCGCUCCAAACUGUCGGACUCGAGGAAUGUAGGGGUAACCGGAACUUGCGGUGGAGCGGUGAAAUGCUUUGAUAUUGCAAGGAACACCAAUGGCGUAGGCAGGUUACUGGGCAUUUUCUGACGCUGAGGCACGAAAGCCAGGGUAGCGAACGGAAUUAGAUACUCCGGUAGUCCUGGCUGUAAACGCUGAGCACUUGGUCGAAGGGUACUCCAUAGCUCUUUGGUCGUAGAGAAAUUGGUAAGUGCUCCGCCUGGGGAGUAUGGUCGCAAGGCUGAACUCAAGGAAUUGACGGGGCUCACACAGCGGUGGAGAUGUGGCUUAUUCGAGGCUACGCGAAGACUAUCCUAGCUGACAUGCGGAUGCCGCCUGAAAGGGGUCGGUGCUCUGGUGAAACA